ensembl:snRNA U1 U1 spliceosomal RNA
GACUUUGCCUGGCAGGGGAGACACUGUGAUCACCAAGGUGAUUUUCCAGCCAGGGCGAGGCUCACCCAUUGCACUGCGCACGUGCGGACCCCUGCGAUGUCCCCAAAUGUGGGAAACUCGACUGCAUCAUUUGUGGUCGUGGGGGACUGCAUUCGCACUCUCCCCUG